CCUACGGGGCGCACCAGUGGGGAAUAUUGCACAAUGGGCGCAAGCCUGAUGCAGCCAUGCCGCGUGUAUGAAGAAGGCCUUCGGGUUGUAAAGUACUUUCAGCGGGGAGGAAGGCGAUAAGGUUAAUAACCUUGUCGAUUGACGUUACCCGCAGAAGAAGCACCGGCUAACUUCGUGCCAGCAGCCGCGGUAAUACGAAGGGUGCAAGCGUUACUCGGAAUUACUGGGCGUAAAGCGCACGCAGGCGGUCUGUCAAGUCGGAUGUGAAAUCCCCGGGCUCAACCUGGGAACUGCAUUCGAAACUGGCAGGCUAGGGUCUUGUAGAGGGGGGUAGAAUUCCAGGUGUAGCGGUGAAAUGCGUAGAGAUCUGGAGGAAUACCGGUGGCGAAGGCGGCCCCCUGGACAAAGACUGACGCUCAGGUGCGAAAGCGUGGGGAGCAAACAGGAUUAGAUACCCCCGUAGUC
rnacentral:rRNA from 1 species